UACAGAGGUGGCAAGCGUUGUUCGGAAUUACUGGGCGUAAAGCGCGCGUAGGCGGCUGUGUAAGUUAGAGGUGAAAGCCCGGAGCUCAACUCCGGAAUUGCCUUUAAGACUGCAUCGCUAGAAUCAUGGAGAGGUGAGUGGAAUUCCGAGUGUAGAGGUGAAAUUCGUAGAUAUUCGGAAGAACACCAGUGGCGAAGGCGACUCACUGGACAUGUAUUGACGCUGAGGUGCGAAAGCGUGGGGAGCAAACAGG
rnacentral:rRNA from 1 species